rnacentral:lncRNA from 1 species
GUGCACCUGGAUUCCCAGACAGGGCCAUCGGAGGCCAGGCAGGAACAUUGCUGGAAUGUGAUGGAUCCAGAGGGGCAGCUGCGGUCUUUGCCAGCGCUUAGGAGCCCUGAAAACACUCGUGGCCAUGUGGACGACUGAGAGGUGUGCACACCUCACUCACUGGCCUGAGAGGGAAGAUGAGAGAGCAGCAGUUUCUGGAUGCAACAGCCCCAGAGGCCUCCCCAGGUCCCAUCUCUCCCACUCUCGGGUCCGACUACUGGCGAGUCACUCCAACAGGCUGACUUCCUGAGCCCAGGGCGGCCAGCAGAUGCUGAGAUCUGCAGGCAGGUGGAGGUGGCAGGGGAAGAAGGCCCGGGAAGAGGCAGCAGGGCUGGACGGCUGGGAGGGGACUAAACCACGGUCUCUUGAGUCACCACCUGAAUCUUACAGCUUGAGAAAGGGAGCAUUUUAUUCUCAAAUUGCUCUUGUUGACAGCAAGAAGGGUGCAUAUACAUUACGGUUCAAUUUCCCAGGCCACUUUCCCACCACGCCUUGUUGGGUCACUCACUGCGGCACUGAGCCGGGCAGGUUAAACGCGUGUCACAGCCUGACCCCCAGAGCCUCAUGCUGAGGAAUGCAGUGCUGGCUGAGCCUGGGGCCAGAGGCUCACUCCAAGCUCUGCACUUAGUGGAACUACAAGGAGAGGAGGCUGAGCGGGGCAGGGUGGCGGAAGAGAGGCAGCAUGGGAGGCGGAAAGGGAGCAAGGCGUGCGAACCUCACAUAAUGAGCUGGACAGCUGGUCAGCGCGGUCCCUGGAAGCCUUUAGAUGUGGAAACCUGAGGAACUGGUCACCUCUAAGGUGACAGAGAGGGAGGAGGAGAAGCCUGGACCCCUGGCCCUGUGCACUCUUCCCAGGGCCCCCCACCUCCUGAAUACCUCUCUCUCCUCAAGCUCCAUGCUCAGCAGGUGCUGGCUACAUUAAAUGGUGUUUUUAAAAUCUCAUCCCAAAACAAUAAAAACAGGAGAUCCCAGUAGACACAGGAGUGUUCAAGAAAAAAAAAAUACAUAAUGGGCUAAGAAAAGCGCUGCAUUUGACAUACAAGUGAGCUUUGCUGGCAGCCACACAAUGCUGGCCUCUUCUCCCUGUAUACUCUCGUGAGCCGGCUUUCCUCAGCUACUGGGGAACAGGAUGUGAUUUUUCUUACGCUGCGUUGAAUGCAAGGAAUUUGUUUGUUUAUUUUCAUUCAUUUCCUAUGGAUACAGGCAGAUGUGUAAGUUGAGCUUUAACUCACAAAAGUGCCCACGGAUGCGUUGAUGUGUUUUAAACCGGGGGCUGCACAGAGGCCUUGCUGCGGCUGUGUCUGCUCCAUCCUGAACCGAUGAUUACAGCCCCAGAGAACCUGAUAUUAAGCUGCUCUUUGAGUCUUAUCCAGGCAUAAUGUGCUGCUCUGUUGAAAGGCUGGCGCCAGGAACCCUGGAAGUUUCUCGUGAGCCUACGCGAAGCAGUGCUGCCCCAGGGAAGCCCCUGGCAGCUCAGGCUUCCAUGGAGUCCAUGUCCACCUGACCCAGUCACUCACAUUUAAUAUUAGGUUGGUGGAAAAUAAUUGCGGGUUUUGCUACUUUUUUUUAGUGACAAAAACGCAAUUUAUUUUGCACCAGCCUAUUAGUAUUUACUGUCCUAAGCUUUUUGUACGUGGCAAACCUCAGGAUACCCCUGCGGAUCCACACGGCCAGCACCCUCAUUUAGAGAUGAAGAGACUGAUGUUCAGAGUGGUUCAGAGAGUCAGAUGAUCUGCCACUCUGCCGGAGGCCGGUUAGA